rnacentral:rRNA from 1 species
UUAGAGUUUGAUCCCUGGCUCAGGACGAACGCUGGCGGCGUGCUUAACACAUGCAAGUCUACGAGAACGAGGUAGCAAUAUCUUUAGUAAAGUGGCGUACGGGUGCGUAACACGUAAGUAAUCUACCUUUGGGUUCGGAAUAACUUCGGGAAAUCGGAGCUAAUACCGGAUAAUGCAGCGGCACCGCAUGGUGAUGUUGUUAAAGUUUGUGUAAUGCCUAAAGAUGAACUUGCGUCUGAUUAGCUAGUUGGUGAGGUAAUGGCUCACCAAGGCUGCGAUCAGUAGCUGGUCUGAGAGGAUGAUCAGCCACACUGGAACUGAGACACGGUCCAGACUCCUACGGGAGGCAGCAGUGAGGAAUAUUGGGCAAUGCCCGAAAGGGUGACCCAGCAACGCCGCGUGGAGGAUGAAGGUCGUAAGAUUGUAAACUCCUGUUAGAGGGAAGAAUAACUAAGUUUGGAGCUUAGUAUGACUGUACCCUCAGAGAAAGCCCCGGCUAACUACGUGCCAGCCGCCGCCGGUAAUUCAA